rnacentral:rRNA from 1 species
UUUUAUGGAGAGUUUGAUCCUGGCUCAGGAUGAACGCUGGCGGCGUGCCUAAUACAUGCAAGUCGAGCGAACGGACGAGAAGCUUGCUUCUCUGAUGUUAGCGGCGGACGGGUGAGUAACACGUGGAUAACCUACCUAUAAGACUGGGAUAACUUCGGGAAACCGGAGCUAAUACCGGAUAAUAUUUUGAACCGCAUGGUUCAAAAGUGAAAGACGGUCUUGCUGUCACUUAUAGAUGGAUCCGCGCUGCAUUAGCUAGUUGGUAAGGUAACGGCUUACCAAGGCAACGAUGCAUAGCCGACCUGAGAGGGUGAUCGGCCACACUGGAACUGAGACACGGUCCAGACUCCUACGGGAGGCAGCAGUAGGGAAUCUUCCGCAAUGGGCGAAAGCCUGACGGAGCAACGCCGCGUGAGUGAUGAAGGUCUUCGGAUCGUAAAACUCUGUUAUUAGGGAAGAACAUAUGUGUAAGUAACUGUGCACAUC